UCCAUCGUCAAUAGUAUGACUGAUGAAGAUGAUUAGAAAAUCAUUUUACUUUUCUGUACCCAGUUCCAUUUUUUUUCAUAAAGGAACUCAUGUGUAUGUCUGUAUAGAACCAUGGGCCACACUUGGUCUUGUAACAUUAAAUCCUGACAGCACAUCACUUUUACAGCUGCUACUAAAGGUGAACUGCACAUAGGUACACACUUGGAACUUAAAAUCUAAGACCUGCAUGCACAGUGCCUUCAGAAAAACUCAGCCUGGCGGAAGAGCUUCCUUUAACUCCCUGACUUAGUUAUAGUUAGCUAGUUAGCUAGUUAGCUAGUUAGUUAGUUAGUUUGUUUGUUUUUCCAUCAACAACACUUAGAUGAAAGGAAAACGUUUUAACCUCAAACUAGUAGACGCCUGCCCUGUGAGUUUAGCUCAGUGCCAGUUUGAGUCCCCUCUCUGCAUGCUCAGGACACCAGCCACACACAGCUUGUGACCUCCUUUGGUUCGUUCUUCAUGCAGCAGCAAGACUGGUUGAAAAAGGGAAAGGACCCAGCACCAUUGUUAUAGCCCCAGAUAAAAUCUCCCAGCUCCUCUGUGAAGGAGACCUCAGACUUAUCAGACUUAUCACAGACCGACUGAACAGUUUCCUUUGUUCUUUGAAGGACUUUGUGGUUGGGUCCUUAAACUGUUUCCUUUGAGGUGGGUUUACAGACUGCUGGCCACACCCAUUCAAGAAAAACCCCUGGUUUCCAAACCACGUGUGGAUGAUUGUAAGAGCCUGGGCAGCCCUGCAGCUGCUAGAGAAGAGUUUCUUCCAUGUUGUACCAGGGGACAAAUGAGUACAAGAGACAUGAGUCCCAUCUAUAUUGCAGGCCUGGCUGCAGAGGCCUUAUCCGGCAGCUGAGGCUGUGUUCCCAUCCAGUCCUUAAUGCCACUUCAUUUCUAAAUUCUUUCAAUUCUAAUUUCUCUCAUUUCUGUGCACUGAUCUGGGUUCGGGACUAGGUUGCAAGUUGUGUGGGGGCAGGAGCAUUGGCUUGUGACUUUUGUAUGCCACCCUGUCCCUGCAGGGCUCACUGAGUGCUGUCUCUGAGCUUUUGACCUGAAUGCUCAUCUCAGUACUCAGAGCUGCUCGGAGGCCUGUGACGUAUGAAUGAGGUUGAAUUGCCUCCGGGCUCAGUGUGGGAUUUGGAAGCACACUCUUGUAGUAAACUCAGCCUUUCCCCCAAACAAGUCCCCAGCACAUGUUGGAACCCAUGAGGAAUCUGAAAGUUUUCUGCUUCUCUGAACUUGGUACUUCCGUACCCAUAGUGAGAGGAGCUUUGAAUGCUAGCCAGUGUCUCAGGGAUAGAUCUCGCUUCAUCUGGGGAGAGCUUGAGAUUAUCGAUCAGAUUGGGUAGAAAAUAAAAUGAUGGGGGUGAGCAGGUUACAUCGAGUGUGCCUUCCUGAAUGGUUAACUACCAUGGGCUCCUUGCUAGGUAGACAUAACAUCUUAUAGACACAGCCAGAGGAUGGCCUAUUUGACGAUGCCUUGUUUAGCUAGCAUAAGCAGAAUUACCCAGUAUGGUUCCUGUCAGAGUACUUGGAUUCUUGCACAGUUGGCAGUUUGCCUAUGACACUGGAGCCAAGUUCAGAAAAGAAAGGCACUUUAGCCAGGCUCACAUCCCAAUACAGCUUUUGCCCUGGUGUGCUAGAGUCCUCAAAGGAUCUGCUGGUGUUGGGUCAUUGACGGAACCUGUUAGCAUCCAAGUCACAACCAUUAAAAAGGAAAACGAAAAGAAAUGUGGUAAAGCCCCCAAAGAUAAGUUUUAGAAAUAAAAGGAACAGUGUAGUCUUCUUAGCUGUAACUCAUGUAUACUAGCUUCUAGAAGGCUAAAGGGCGGAGGUCCAAAUGGGCAUGGUGGUGCAUGCCUUGGAGGUAGAAGCAGGUGGAUCUCUGUGAGUUCAAGACCACUCAAGCCUACACAGUAAGUUUUAGGCCCUGUCUC
rnacentral:lncRNA from 1 species